GAAGUCUGUUUCUUCACUGCAGCCAGGGCAACUUCCCCCACCUCAUAUGCAUUCCAUGCAGCAGCCACAGUCACAACUUACUCAAGUUCAGCCCCAUGACAAUCAAAUGAACCCACAGAUACAAUCAAUGAACUUACAAGCCUAAGUGUGUGGUCUUCGGCAACAUUAAGAGUUGGAAACACUUUGUUUAGCUGGGAAUUAUUAUGACUAUGUUGAAGGCCUUGAGAAGCAUUAUAAAUUUACUACAUAUAUAGACUUGUAGCCCCAAAUAGUUUUGAUAUCAUGAUUCUGAGUUUCAAAGCUGAAACUAAAUAAUGUGGAUGGAUAUGAUCCUAAGACUUUUAAAAUCUUAAGAUUGUCAACUGAAUUGUUGUAUGAUUAUAGACUGCAAAAAGUUUUAACUUA